UUGAGAGGUAGAGGUGUCUGCAUUUGUCUCAUCCUGGUGCAGAUGUAACUGUUAAAGUGAGAAGAGGGACACCAGAAGGUAGAGGUGUAUGAAAAGGGAAAGGUUAGGGCUGCCAGGAUCACAGUUCAUCCUAAGAUCAUCGCGGUUGGGCAAAAGUGUAUACACAUACAGUUUGUCCUGCAUGCAGUAGAGCAUACCCCCAGAGGCCAGAGGGAGCCUGGAAGGAGAGUCACAAAUUCUUACAGUAUAAAAGCGUCUGGAGUUUACAAAAUGGUGAAGGAUUAAGAAGUGCCAUGAAUGGGAAAUCCAAGGAGAGGAGACCUUGGAUACCACUGGCCACCAGCAGCCUCCACCACAUUGAUAAAGGAUAACAAAGCACCUUUCUAAUCCUCCAUGACAAAUAUGGAAUCUGUAAAUGUGUUUUAUCAUGU